GCCUGUCCCUUCCCCGGGGGCUUGCGGAGAGGGCCCUGUCCUGCCCCUCCUGCCUGUGAGCAGGGAGAGGGGGGAAGCUGAGCCCUCUCACAGCCCCGAAAUGACGCAGCCCCUGCUCCAGCAUCGUCUCCCGUUUGGGCUGGCUCCAUUUCAGGAGCGCCGUCUCCCCCCACCCCCUUCUUCCCAGCCUUCUUCCUUCCUCCUCCUCCUCGCCUCACCGUCACUCUCAAACACCCCCCCCCCCCCCCCCCCCCGACCGCUUCCCCCCGCCGCCCCAAACUCCUUCUUCAGGACCGUGGGAUGCUGGUGAGCUCUGGUGAGAGUUGCCGGUCUCCAUUUCCAAGCGGGGAGCCGCCGGGAGCGCCUAUUUUACCAUUGAGGACGAGAUAGGCAGAAAAAGGAGCGUUUGACUUGGAGUUCGCCCCCGAUUUUAGUCCAAAGGAUCUGCUUCUGGGAAUUGUGUGUCCGGCUCCAGCGUUUUGCCUGCUGAGGAAGAGGCCCACUCUGUUCUCCAGCCUUGUUUCAUGGAUUUCUAUCUCUCCAAGUAAUUCCUCAGCAUCCCCUUGAAUGGCAUCUACCGCACUAAAGAGCUUUUCCAGCCCACAAGACUGAAAAAACUUCCCAUAACUGAAAUGACUCCAGCACAGCUAUUCCCUAGAAGACAUCCCCCCUGAUUUCUUGUGGGGCCUGCAAUAUAUCUGAAGUUGUAGGGUUGAGGUGACCAAAUUUGAAGACAGUAUUCAAAAAUAGCGAGGACAUGGAAAAGACGUUGAAGUCCUAUUGCUCCUGUUGGAAACUUCUGCUGACUACAGCAUGAGUUGGAUUGGGCCCAGAGAAACCAAAUACACACAAGUAACAACGAGUUGGCCAUACAAGCAAGGAAAAUCACAGGUAACAGGUGAACACAAAUUAGCAAUGCACCUUUUAGGUCAGCCAGUACAGUUCCCUGAUACCAUGAGAUUGUUUCCUAUGGCAUAUUUUUGGUUGUUUUGUGUGCAUAGAUUAAAUGUCCUAAGAGAUGCCAUGUCCCCAGGGAUAGGCUGUGCUGUCUAGAGUAUAUUGUCGUCAGAAGGGUUUUUUUUACCUUUCUUAACAUCAUCAUAUUUCUUCUAGUUACAUCCCUUUGCAAACUCUUUAUUUUCCUUCACUGAUGCAAUUUUCUUCCAGUAUCUUUUAACUGCUGUGUUUAGUUAGCAUAAUGCCAACCCAUAGCUAUUUAGAUCGUAUAAUCUUCCCUAACACAUCAGUCCUUUCAGUCUCCUGGUUAUUCCUUCUUUCCUCUUGUCACACUCCUGCCUGUCAGUAUCUUUUUUAGUUCUGAGAUUUUAAAGAUGUGAUGCAUUUCUCUGAACUAAUGACAGAUUCAGUAUAGAGCUGAGCACCCUCAAUGUCUUCUCACUGAAAACCCCUGAUGUGCCUAGGGAAAGCUGCCAGCAGUCUGGACAGACACACAGGUAGUAAGUAUCCUGCUCAAACCACUUCCCUUGUGCCACUUAUUCUAUUGGCCAACAAAACCCUGUUAAAACAGUUAACAUAGUAGUCAAAAAACCCACAAAUACAUGUCAUUAUAGAUUUAUUUUAUUUCUUACAAUAUUAGGAGGUGAAAGUAGCACAGAUAAAAAAACCUUUGUUACUGUUGUUGAGAUUUUCUAACUCUUGGUCAUGGACAUCACAGGCUAAAAAUUAAGGAAAAUGCCAUCUUCCAUAACUGAGUGUUAGAAGGGUACAUUGUAGAAAGUAAUUAUAAACAUAGUCACAAGCUUGGCUGUUCACUUCAGGCAAUAAAUUCUGAUCAACAAACAACACCCCUUUAGUGCUAACUGAGAUCUUGGUUGUAAUUGAAUGUCUUUACCUUUGUGUUCUGUUGGAUUGGAGGAAUAUAAUUUUAAUCUGCUCUUUUUAAAUUUUCAUUAAGGAACGUUUCAGCUACCUGCAGCCUCAUCUGAUAAUGCUUAAUGAUAUCACCUAGCUCAGUCUUCCGUGUAGUAGCAGAAGCUUCUUUAAAUUGGUCAACUGUAUGGAACAUUGUUUUCAAGUUUAACUCGGAAUCAACCUUUUAAAACAACGGCAUCUCUAAAGACAGUUUAUAUACAUAGUGCACACAUACAUGCAUGCAUUUAUAUGUGCAUGUAUGUGUAUGCAUAUAUGCACAUAUGUGAACACAUGUACAGAAAUGUUAAUCUUCACCUUCUUGAAAUCAUUACAGAUAGUAUUAACAUAAAUGUGCUGUUAAAUUGGCAGUGUUAUACAUUUUUGUUGGAGUUUACUCCUGUAACAUAAAAUCAGAAAGAUAAGCUGUGAAACUCAUGCAGCUGAUGACAUAAUGCUAGGAUCUCGUGAUGCUGAAUCUCAUAUUUCUAGGAGUGUGGGAUGGAUGUUCCUUGCUGAAAUAAUUAUACUGCCUAUUGCAAUAUAUGUUUCCUUGUUUUCAUGUGGGCACUGGGAUGUCCAAACCAUUAAACGUAUAUGGUAUAAUGA